rnacentral:lncRNA from 1 species
GCGGACGAAAUUCGCCCGCGGCCCCCACCAAGGCUAUAGCCCACCCAUUUUUUGGCCAUUUUUCCGCUGGGGGGUUUUGGCACCACGACCUUCGGGCGCGGCUUUGCCCGCGGCUUAUUUUUGGCACCCCGAGGCCCCUCGUAAAGUCUCGCCGCAUUCCGAGUCCGGCGGACGAACGUCGCCCGCGCCCCCCACCAAGGCUAUAGCCCACCCGUUUUUUGGCCAUUUUUCCGCUGGGGGGUUUUGGCACCACGACCUUCGGGCGCGGCUUUGCCCGCGGCUUAUUUUUGGCACCCCGAGGCCCCUCGUAAAGUCUCGCCGCAUUCCGAGUCCGGCGGACGAACGUCGCCCGCGCCCCCCACCAAGGCUAUAGCCCACCCGUUUUUUGGCCAUUUUUCCGCUGGGGGGUUUUGGCACCACGACCUUCGGGCGCUUAUUUUUGGGCGCGGCUUUGCCCGCGGCUUAUUUUUGGCACCCCGAGGCCCCUCGCAAAGUCUCGCCGCAUUCCGAGUCCGGCGGACGAACGUCGCCCGCGCCCCCCACCAAGGCUAUAGCCCACCCGUUUUUUGGCCAUUUUUCCGCUGGGGGGUUUUGGCACCACGACCUUCGGGCGCUUGGUGGGGGGACUUUGCCAUUUUUCUCGCCCCAUUUUUUGGCUUUGCCCGCGGCUUAUUUUUGGCACCCCGAGGCCCCUCGCAAAGUCUCUCCGCAUUCCGAGUCCGGCGGACGAACGUCGCCCGCGCCCCCCACCAAGGCUAUAGCCCACCCGUUUUUUGGCCAUUUUUCCGCUGGGGGGUUUUGGCACCACGACCUUCGGGCGCUUAUGUUUGGGCGCGGCUUUGCCCACGGCUUAUUUUUGGCACCCCGAGGCCCCUCGCAAAGUCUCGCCCCAUUCCGAGUCCGGCGGACGAACUUCGCCCGCGCCCCCCACCAAGGCUAUAGCCCACCCGUUUUUUGGCCAUUUUUCCGCUGGGGGGUUUUGGCACCACGACCUACGGGCGCGGCUUUGCCCGCGGCUUAUUUUUGGCACCCCGAGGCCCCUCGCAAAGUCUCGCCGCAUUCCGAGUCCGGCGGACGAACUUCGCCCGCGCCCCCCACCAAGGCUAUAGCCCACCCGUUUUUUGGCCAUUUUUCCGCUGGGGGGUUUUGGCACCACGACCUUCGGGCGCUUAUUUCUGGGCGCGGCUUUGCCCGCGGCUUAUUUUUGGCACCCCGAGGCCCCUCGCAAAGUCUCGCCGCAUUCCGAGUCCGGCGGACGAACUUCGCCCGCGCCCCCCACCAAGGCUAUAGCCCACCCGUUUUUUGGCCAUUUUUCCGCUAGGGGGUUUUGGCACCACGACCUUCGGGCGCUUAUUUUUGGGCGCGGCUUUGCCCGCUGCUUAUUUUUGGCACCCCGAGGCCCCUCGCAAAGUCUCGCCGCAUUCCGAGUCCGGCGGACGAACGUCGCCCGCGCCCCCCACCAAGGCUAUAGCCCACCCGUUUUUUGGCCAUUUUUCCGCUGGGGGGUUUUGGCACCACGACCUUCGGGCGCUUAUUUUUGGGCUCGGCUUUGCCCGCGGCUUAUUUUUGGCACCCCGAGGCCCCUCGCAAAGUCUCGCCGCAUUCCGAGUCCGGCGGACGAACUUCGCCCGCGCCCCCCACCAAGGCUAUAGCCCACCCGUUUUUUGGCCAUUUUUCCGCUGGGGGGUUUUGGCACCACGACCUUCGGGCGCUUAUUUUUGGGCGCGGCUUUGCCCGCGGCUUAUUUUGGCACCCCGAGGCCCCUCGCAAAGUCUCGCC